AUGGCAUCGUGGGGAUGGCAUUGUGGGGAUGGCACUGUGGGGAUGGCACUGUGGGGAUGGCACUGUAGGGAUGGCACUGUAGGGAUGGCACUGUGGAGAAGGCAUCGUGGGGCUUCAGGGUCCCCUUCCCCGGCUGACAAAUCCACUCCUGUCCCAGUGACCUGCGGUGGCCAUUGGUGACACAGCUGUGGCUUGAGGGGGGCUGCAGUGACACAGGGCUGGGGGCUCAUGGGGUGUCCAUGUAGUUCUGGGGCCGUGUUGGGGUUUUUAUCCCUGCUGUGCCCAGCCGUGCUCCCAGCUGCAUGUCCCCACUAUAGCACCCUGCGCUUGGGUUCGGUGCAGGGCACGCAAUGGUCCGCAAACCCCACAGUGCUGCCCUGCCCCGGGGACAGCAUCUCACCUCCAGCUGACGUGGGUCAGGAUGAGGCAGGGGGCAAUGGGGCUCACCCCUGUGUCCCCCCCCCUGGCAGCGGGCGCUGGUGGAGACGCACCUGAGCCGCAUCCGGAGCCUGGAGCAGCAGCUGCGGCAGCGUGAGACAAACCCUUUCCCUGGGGUUGGUCCACUGCCUGGCCAGGAGGUGCCUUUUCUCUCCCUGCACCCCAACCCCGGCCUCAGCCACGUGCUGGAGCGCCCCGGGGGGUGGCCGAGCCGCGGGCUGGAGGCUGAGCUGGAGGCAGCACGGCAGGAUGCUCAGCGUGCACAGCACCGUGAGGAGCACCUGAAGGCUGAGUGUGAGCGGCUGCAGCUGGAGCUGAAGCACCUGCAGGACAGCCGCCAGCAGGAGCAGUCAGAGCGGGACAUGGCCUGGGUGAAGAAAAUGGGCGAUGACCAGUAAGUGUCUGUAGGGUACUGGGAUGGGAUGGAUGGGAUGGAAUAUAAUGGGAUGAGAUGAUGGGAUGUGACGGGAUGGUGGGAUGCAAUGGGAUGGGAUGGAAUAUAAUGGGAUGAUGGAAUGGGAUGGGAUGCUAUGAUGGGUCGCACUGUGAUGGGGUAGAUGGG